rnacentral:rRNA from 1 species
CGAGCGGUAGAGAUCCUUCGGGAUCUUGAGAGCGGCGUACGGGUGCGGAACACGUGGGCAACCUGCCUUUAUCUGGGGGAUAGCCUUUCGAAAGUAAGAUUAAUACCCCAUAAUAUACUGAAUGGCAUCAUUCGGUAUUGAAAACUCCGGUGGAUAGAGAUGGGCACGCGCAAGAUUAGAUAGUUGGUGAGGUAACGGCUCACCAAGUCUACGAUCUUUAGGGGGCCUGAGAGGGUGAUCCCCCACACUGGUACUGAGACACGGACCAGACUCCUACGGGAGGCAGCAGUGAGGAAUAUUGGACAAUGGGUGAGAGCCUGAUCCAGCCAUCCCGCGUGAAGGACGACGGCCCUAUGGGUUGUAAACUUCUUUUGUAUAGGGAUAAACCUACCCUCGUGAGGGUAGCUGAAGGUACUAUACGAAUAAGCACCGGCUAACUCCGUGCCAGCAGCCGCGGUAAUACGGAGGGUGCAAGCGUUAUCCGGAUUUAUUGGGUUUAAAGGGUCCGUAGGCGGAUCUGUAAGUCAGUGGUGAAAUCUCACAGCUUAACUGUGAAACUGCCAUUGAUACUGCAGGUCUUGAGUGUUGUUGAAGUAGCUGGAAUAAGUAGUGUAGCGGUGAAAUGCAUAGAUAUUACUUAGAACACCAAUUGCGAAGGCAGGUUACUAAGCAACAACUGACGCUGAUGGACGAAAGCGUGGGGAGCGAACAGGAUUAGAUACCCUGGUAGUCCACGCCGUAAACGAUGCUAACUCGUUUUUGGAAUGUAAGUUUCAGAGACUAAGCGAAAGUGAUAAGUUAGCCACCUGGGGAGUACGAACGCAAGUUUGAAACUCAAAGGAAUUGACGGGGGCCCGCACAAGCGGUGGAUUAUGUGGUUUAAUUCGAUGAUACGCGAGGAACCUUACCAAGGCUUAAAUGGGAAAUGACAGGUUUAGAAAUAGACUUUUCUUCGGACAUUUUUCAAGGUGCUGCAUGGUUGUCGUCAGCUCGUGCCGUGAGGUGUUAGGUUAAGUCCUGCAACGAGCGCAACCCCUGUCACUAGUUGCCAUCAUUAAGUUGGGGACUCUAGUGAGACUGCCUACGCAAGUAGAGAGGAAGGUGGGGAUGACGUCAAAUCAUCACGGCCCUUACGCCUUGGGCCACACACGUAAUACAAUGGCCGGUACAGAGGGCAGCUACACUGCGAAGUGAUGCAAAUCUCGAAAGCCGGUCUCAGUUCGGAUUGGAGUCUGCAACUCGACUCUAUGAAGCUGGAAUCGCUAGUAAUCGCGCAUCAGCCAUGGCGCGGUGAAUACGUUCCCGGGCCUUGUACACACCGCCCGUCAAGCCAUGGAAGUCUGGGGUACCUGAAG